GUGAAAUUAAUCACAAACAUAUACCCCUUUGUUUGACCGUGAAAAAUUUCUCCCAUCCCCUUGUUGUCUUAAUGACAACGAGAAAGACCCAGCAAAUUUGCUGGGUCUUUCUU
rnacentral:sRNA from 3 species